GCGGUGGCUAAACGGUUAACGCUUGGACAUCGAUAGCGAGGAGGCUUGAGUUCGAUCCUAACAUCGCGCAAUACUUUUGGUAGCUUAUUUUGCCUUUUUGGGUGUCCAAUCCGUUGUAAUGCAUUCUAUCGCGUGAGGGUGGCACAUAAGUCCAAACUCCACUUGCGACAUUUAUCUCAAAGAGGACGGACCUAUGUUGAUGUGGUCAUUGUGAGCUACUAUCUACCGGCAUAGUAUAAAUAAGAUUAUGUUAAAGUGAUUCACACAUUAAGAUAAUAGUGAUUGUGCUUGUGUAAUCCGAACAGGGCCUGACGCAACGCCCUUUGAGUUUGGAUCUUAAUGAGACCUAAGAACGAAAUCUUAGAUAUACCUAUCAUAAGGAUUAUCCCCUGAAUACGGAGCUACCGGGCAUAGGUGUUGGCAGAGUUCACCAUAAUUAACUCUCCUGGCGUCCAAAUUAGAUUAAGUUAGUUUAAGCUUAGGUAUUCUGUGAGUGGCUAGUUUUAAGGUUCUGUUAAUAUACGGUGGUAAUCA